rnacentral:rRNA from 1 species
UACGUAGGGUGCAAGCGUUAAUCGGAAUUACUGGGCGUAAAGCGUGCGCAGGCGGUUAUGUAAGACAGGUGUGAAAUCCCCGGGCUUAACCUGGGAACUGCAUUCGAUACUGCGGUGCUUGAGGACUGGAGAGGAGACUGGAAUUCAUGGUGUAGCAGUGAAAUGCGUAGAGAUCAUGAGGAAGACCAGUGGCGAAGGCGGGUCUCUGGACAGUUCCUGACACUGAGACACGAAGGCCAGGGGAGCAAACGGG